CGUCCUAGUUGUAUGGCUUUGGACAUAGUAAUAAAGACCCAAGGUGGGAAAUUCAAUGGCUACAGAGUACAAGGUGGUUAAGCACCAGAGAAACCAUAGUUCUUCAAGGAGCAUGUCUGUUUCAGGAUGAAGGCUAAUGCAGGUGAGAAAGGGAUAAUUUGGCAGGAAAUAAGAAACAGGGGGAAUGAUAUUUCUGAGGACAUUUCUUGCAUUCUGAAAAUGAAAUAGGUGGUUCCUGGCAUAAGUUUAAAGUUCUGCAGGAGUCAUGGAGGGUGAACUUCCAAGUAAAAAGCUACCUGAGGAAGGAACAAGAGAGCUAAGUGUGUUUAAUAAGCAAGCCAUGAAAAUGAGUGACAGAAUAGAAACAGAGCUAAUAAUAUGGACUGGGCUUGGUCCUUGCAUUGAGAAAGUGGGCUGAACCUGUACUUCGUAUUAAAUCCUUAUCCAGGUGAAGCCCGUUGGCAAUGGAUCAUGGACAUUUGCAUACCAUUAUCUUGGGACUUUUCAUACUGGAUAGCACCAAGCAUGAAAAGACGCUGGUUUUCAAGGUGGCAAAACCCAAAG
rnacentral:misc_RNA from 1 species